rnacentral:snRNA from 1 species
ACACUUACCCAGCAGGGCAGACGCUGUGAAGCCGAAGCUGGCUUUCCCGGGGCGAGGCCUCUCCGUGGCCCUCCGGGUGAGGGCCUGCGAUUUCCCCAAACGCAGGAAACUCCGCUGCGUCGUCUGUGGUGGGAGGGAACGCAUCCCAC